UACGGAGGAUGCAAGCGUUAUCCGGAAUUAUUGGGCGUAAAGGGUCCGCAGGUGGCAGUGUAAGUCUGCUGUCAAAGAAUGAGGCUUAACCUCAUCAAGGCAGUGGAAACUAGACAGCUAGAGUACGGUCGGGGUAGAAGGAAUUCCUGGUGUAGCGGUGAAAUGCGUAGAGAUCAGGAAGAACACCGGUGGCGAAAGCGUUCUGCUAGGCCUGUACUGACACUGAGGGACGAAAGCGAGGGGAGCGAACGGG
rnacentral:rRNA from 1 species